rnacentral:rRNA from 1 species
CGUAGGGGCAAGCGUUAUCCGGAUUUACUGGGGUGUAAAGGGAGCGUAGACGGCAUAGCAAGUCUGAAGUGAAAGCCCGGGGCUCAACCCCGGAACUGCUUUGGAAACUGUUAAGCUAGAGUGUCGGAGAGGUAAGUGGAAUUCCCAGUGUAGCGGUGAAAUGCGUAGAUAUUGGGAGGAACACCGGUGGCGAAGGCGGCUUACUGGACGAUAACUGACGUUGAGGCUCGAAGGCGUGGGGAGCAAACAGGAUU